rnacentral:tRNA from 1 species
GGGCCGUUAGCUCAGCUGGCAGAGCAGCGGGCUUUUAACCCGAAGGUCGUGGGUUCGAUCCCCACACGGCCCA